UGGGGAAUAUUGCACAAUGGGGGAAAACCUGAUGCAGCGACGCCGCGUGAACGAAGAAGGUAUUCGUAUCGUAAAGUUCUGUCCUAUGGGAAGAUAAUGACAGUACCAUAGAAGAAAGCCACGGCUAAAUCCGUGCCAGCAGCCGCGGUAAUACGUAUGGAGCGAGGGUUGUCCGGAAUUAUUGGGCGUAAAGGGUACGCAGGCGGUUUAAUAAGUCGAAUGUUAAAGAUCGGGGCUCAACCCCGCACAGCAUUGGAAACUGAUAAACUUGAGUAGUGGAGAGGAAAGUGGAAUUCCUAGUGUAGUGGUGAAAUACAUAGAUAUGAGGAGGAAUACCAGUAGCGAAGGCGACUUUCUGGACACAAACUGACGCUGAGGUACGAAAGCGUGGUGAGCAAACAGG
rnacentral:rRNA from 1 species